GCGCCCAUGGCGGAAUCGGUAGACGCCGGGGACUUAAAAUCCCCUGACCUCGGUCGUGCCGGUUCGAGUCCGGCUGGGCGCACCA
rnacentral:tRNA from 1 species